rnacentral:rRNA from 1 species
CCAGAGAACUUAGCAGNGAUGCUUUGGUGCCUUUCGGGAACUCUGAGACAGGUGCUGCAUGGCUGUCGUCAGCUCGUGUUGUGAAAUGUUGGGUUAAGUCCCGCAACGAGCGCAACCCUUAUCCUUUGUUGCCAGCGGCUCGGCCGGGAACUCAAAGGAGACUGCCGGUGAUAAACCGGAGGAAGGUGGGGAUGACGUCAAGUCAUCAUGGCCCUUACGGCCAGGGCUACACACGUGCUACAAUGGCGCAUACAAAGAGAAGCGACCUCGCGAGAGCAAGCGGACCUCACAAAGUGCGUCGUAGUCCGGAUUGGAGUCUGCAACUCGACUCCAUGAAGUCGGAAUCGCUAGUAAUCGUAGAUCAGAAUGCUACGGUGAAUACGUUCCCGGGCCUUGUACACACCGCCCGUCACACCAUGGGAGUGGGUUGCAAAAGAAGUAGGUAGCUUAACCUUCGGGAGGGCGCUUACCACUUUGUGAUUCAUGACUGGGGUGAAGUCGUAACAAGGUAGGCGUAGCGAG